GGUCCCUAAAUGAGCUGAUUCUCAUCAAAGCCGAGAAGCAUAGUCAGGUGUGGUGGCUCACGCCUGUAAUCCCAGCACAUUCAGAGGCCAAGGUGGACGAGCCACUUGAGGCCAGGAGUUCGAGGCCAGCCUGGCCAACAUGGAGAAACCUUGUCUCUAAAAAAUAAAAGAAUAAAGAAGCAGCAGAACUUUGUAGAGUCCCUCCAGGAAGCAGUGCCACGAGGCCUUGGGGCUGCUUACUACAACUGAAGGAAGUGUAAGCGACCGCCUCUCUGAGACAGCCAGAGAGGAAGUCUCAUUAGGUUGCCCAGACUGAUCUUGAAUCCCUGGACUCCAGCAAUCCACCUGCCUCGGCCUCCCAAAGUGCUUGGAUUAUGCGUGUGAGCCGUUGCACCUGCCACAUACCUGAAUUCUUUAUUGAGUGGAAAAUAUGGCUGACCACAACGCCCAGAUUUUAUAGACAGUAGUUCCACUGCCUUUGGGAAUCCAGUUCUUGUUCCCAAUUUCAGGUAUUAAUAUCCUAGGGAAUUCUCUGAUGUGCUUUUGGGUUUACCGGCCUCCCAUGGACCAUUCAUGUGUAGGAGGCAUGAAGGCCAGGGCACGUGAAAGCAUGCCUGCCGCCCUGGACACUGUUCAGCAGGUCCCAGAAGGAGCCUAUGUUUACAGAGUAAGAGGAGAGGCUGACCAGCAAACAGAAGGGUCUGAUUCAUCCCCAAAUCACGAGACGAGCAAGGAACAAGGGGGCUGGUUUGCCUGGAAUAGAGUGAACAAGAUAAAUGCAUGAGAGAUGAAGUCAGGAAGACCAUGGAGGCCACAAGCAUGAGGCCCGUGGGCCAUUCUGACACUGAGGUCUACUCCACAUGAGAAAUGAAGGAAAAUCAAGACACUAGCAGAGGGUGCAGAACUAAGUGAAUCUGUUGUCAGCAAAGGUGUCCCAAAAGAACGACUAAUGGAAGUUAUCUUAACAGAAAGUGAUAACAGAAGAGAUCUUGGAAUAUCAGAGACAAAGAAAGAACAAUGGAAAGAAGAAAAAAUGGGUAUGUAUAAUAGGCUUUCGUUCUCCUCAGUUUUCUAAAUUAUAUUCGAGAUAUGAAGCAAAAAUUAUAACACUGACAUGGUUCUCACCGCAUGUAGAGGAAAUAUUUAAGAUAAUCAUGUAUGAAUGUGGGAGGGUAAAGGACAUGAAGAACAUGAAGGGAAGUAAGGAUGACUUGAAUGGGUAAAACCAGUAGACUGUGGCAAGUUAUAUG